rnacentral:rRNA from 1 species
GACGAACGCUGGCGGCGUGCUUAACACAUGCAAGUCGAGCGGAAAGGCCCUUCGGGGUCCUCGAGCGGCGAACGGGUGAGUAACACGUGAGUAACCUGCCCCAGACUUUGGGAUAACCCUCGGAAACGGGGGCUAAUACCGGAUACGACACAGCUUCGCAUGGGGUCUGUGUGGAAAGUUUUUCGGUUUGGGAUGGGCUCGCGGCCUAUCAGCUUGUUGGUGGGGUGAUGGCCUACCAAGGCGACGACGGGUAGCCGGCCUGUGUGGGCGACCGGCCACACUGGGACUGAGACACGGCCCAGACUCCUACGGGAGGCAGCAGUGGGGAAUAUUGCACAAUGGGCGGAAGCCUGAUGCAGCGACGCCGCGUGAGGGAUGACGGCCUUCGGGUUGUAAACCUCUUUCAGCAGGGACGAAGCGUAAGUGACGGUACCUGCAGAAGAAGCGCCGGCCAACUACGUG